rnacentral:rRNA from 1 species
UACGAAGGGGGGCUAGCGUUGCUCGGAAUCACUGGGCGUAAAGGGUGCGUAGGCGGGUCUCUAAGUCAGGGGUGAAAUCCUGGAGCUCAACUCCAGAACUGCCUUUGAUACUGAAGAUCUUGAGUUCGGGAGAGGUGAGUGGAACUGCGAGUGUAGAGGUGAAAUUCGUAGAUAUUCGCAAGAACACCAGUGGCGAAGGCGGCUCACUGGCCCGAUACUGACGCUGAGGCACGAAAGCGUGGGGAGCGAACAGG